ACUGUUUCCAGUCUUGUAUUUUUAUUUGCCUGAAAUUAUUUUCUCCUGGAACAAGUCUGAAAUUGCUCAUUUAUUUCUGCAUAUACUUCUGAUCACUUUACACACACUAGAAACAAGAAUUCAUAUGGUGGUCUGUAGAAGGUAUGGGCAAAAACAUCCUUGUGCAAGCUUGAAUUUUACCACAUGUUUUUUUUCUACAUAUGAUAAAAUCUUAUCAUUCUUUUUGUUAAUGUAUCAUGGAGAAAAGGACGGAAGAAUUCACACCAGACUCUUAACAUCGGUUAUUUCACUCUGGAGUAGAAACAAGCAAGAGACACGGAGAGGGAGGGAACACAAGCAGGGGAAGCGGAAGAGAGAGAAGCAGGCUUCCCGCUGA
rnacentral:lncRNA from 1 species